UACGGAGGGAGCUAGCGUUGUUCGGAAUUACUGGGCGUAAAGUGCGCGUAGGCGGCUAUUCAAGUCAGAGGUGAAAGCCCGGGGCUCAACCCCGGAACUGCCUUUGAAACUAGGUAGCUAGAAUCUUGGAGAGGCGAGUGGAAUUCCGAGUGUAGAGGUGAAAUUCGUAGAUAUUCGGAAGAACACCAGUGGCGAAGGCGACUCGCUGGACAAGUAUUGACGCUGAGGUGCGAAAGCGUGGGGAGCAAACAGG
rnacentral:rRNA from 1 species